GGGUUUAUAUUUGGGUUUAGGAUUUAUAUUUCGGUUUAGGGUUUAGUAAUUAAUGUUUAGGGUUUAGUAUUUAGAGGGAAGCGUGAGGUUUAGGGUUUAGGGUUUAGUAUUUAGGAACAAGGGUUUGGAGUAAAUUUUAGUAUUUACGAGUUGUGAGUGGGUUUGGAGUCAUAUACUACUUUAAUGAUAUGGUAUAGAAAAUUCAGAUUGGAUUAGU
rnacentral:lncRNA from 1 species